UUGGAAAUAAAUCCCUUCCUAAAAACAGAGACAUCAAUAGCACCUAGCACUCAACCAGUAUGCUUAAUUCAUGUCUGCAUUUUUCAAAUUACAUGCCUCAGAACACAAUAGUACUAAUUUUCCAAUAAAUACUAACUUCAUAUUACUUACACUUUUAUCUAUAGAAAAGGGGGGAAAAUGCACGAAUUCAAUGUAUUGAAUCAGCUCAAAAAGUUUAUCAACUUGGGUCGUCCUAAAUAAUGGUAAUUUUAAAAUUCAAAAUUCGAGACUUUCUCAGCAAUCAAACAGCAUCCCACUUCUCCAUAAAAAGAAAAGAUAAUUCUAAAGCAUUUUUAGAGCAACACAAUUUAUUUGGCCUAACCCAUAAAAAUUUCACCGCAAAAAAGAGUAAA
rnacentral:misc_RNA from 1 species